CAGAGCGGAGGAAGCAGGAGCAAUUUCACAACCAACAGCAAAAAAAUAUGUGAGAAGUACCUGACUAUGCAGGACUUUUGUGCAGCCUACGGAUGCUCCAAUCGCCGCUGUCUGCAAACAAGAACCCGUGGGAUCACCUUUCACAUGUUUCCCAAAACCGAAGAGAGGAGGAGGCAGUGGGAACUCGCCCUAAGAAGGGACGGUUUUUUAUUAUGUAUUUAUUCAAUCUUCAUGUUCCAUGAGACGCAGCACUAUGUUCCCCACAUAUGUUUAUGUUUGCUCAGUCUAAUAAACCCAUAACAUGGUUGUGAAAGAAUACCAAAGCUGA